UAUCCAUGAUGUGGGCAAGCAAGCUGAAGGUCCUUAAAUCUUUCCCAACACUGAAAAAAUGUUCUUACCAUCUUUUUGUGUGAAGUUCAUGAUAUUUCUUCUAAGUGU